UCGAGGAUCUUCGGCAAUGGGCGAAAGCCUGACCGAGCGACGCCGCGUGUGCGAUGAAGGCCUUCGGGUUGUAAAGCACUGUCGGAGGGGAGAAAGCCCCGCAAGGGGUUGAUCGACCCUCGGAGGAAGCUCGGGCUAAGUUCGUGCCAGCAGCCGCGGUAAGACGAACCGAGCGAACGUUGUUCGGAAUCACUGGGCUUAAAGGGCGCGUAGGCGGGCCUGAAAGUCAAGGGUGAAAGCCCCCGGCUCAACCGGGGAAGUGCCCCUGAUACUUCAGGCCUCGAGGGAGGUAGGGGCGUGCGGAACUUCCGGUGGAGCGGUGAAAUGCGUAGAUAUCGGAAGGAACACCGGUGGCGAAAGCGGCGCGCUGGACCUCUUCUGACGCUGAGGCGCGAAAGCCAGGGGAGCGAACGG
rnacentral:rRNA from 1 species